rnacentral:lncRNA from 1 species
CGUUAAACGCUGUGUCUCAUCUACUUUACGUACAGCUCAGAAUUCGCACAUAUCUCAGGUUAUUUUAUAACACGUAGAAGUAUUUAUACAUUCUUUCGCCAAAAAAAAAAAGUAUUUAUAAAUUUUUUUUGUCAAAACGCUAUCACAAAUGAUAAUGGUGAUCUUAUCUUGAGAUGCUUUUAACUAUUUCAAAAGCUGAUCACCAGUAGGCCUCAGUGGCAAUUUGCAAAAUGUUGUAAAGAUAAACAUGUGGAGCCCACAAAGAAAUUAAGCAAAAAGAAAAUUUGGAGGCUACUUACCUGUAGACUCACGGGUGCAGGUAUCUCAGCCUAUAAAUAGAGAAGGAAGAAGAGAGAAAGGGGUGCAACGGAAGAAAGAGAAGAGGAAAAGGAAAGGAAGAGAGAGAAGAAGAAAAGGAAAGGAGAAGAGGAAAGAAGAGGGUAAGUGAGCAGAGAGAAAAUUCAGUGAGCCACACAUAUUGUAAAUACUAUUGUAGCUCUAUUAUUUUUUAGUGAAAAGGUUACUGCUGCUGCUCUCCGAGGACGUAGGCAUAGCCGAACCUCGUUAAAUACUGAGUCUCGUCUACUUUACGUUCAGCUCAAAAUCUACCACAUAUCUCAGGUUAUUUUAUAACACAAAAGUAAUUCAAAAAACGACACACAAAAAACGACGUGAUGUGCUCUGCAUUUGUAUUGGUGAUGGCAGCGUACCGAUGAUGUGUCGAUAGCAACACGAAACAACGCAGCGACGUGGUUCCACACCUGGCUGGCUAGGACGUGUUGGAAUCCCGAAUCACGUGCUUGACUUGACGUAUGCGCUCGCGAAAUUUCGAAAGCGUAAUUAGUACCAUUUUGUUUUUGUGGGGGGUUGUCUAUCAUUUUCCUCAGCCCUCUCUGGUUUACGCUGCAUCUCUCAUAUUCUCUUGGCCUGCCGCCGAUUCCAGGUACUCUAUGUUCUCUUUUUAAAAUUUACUGCAACUUUGGCAGGCGAUCUCAUCAAACGAAAGAAAAGUUUGAGAUAUGAAAAAUUCUUCUUAGGGUUUUUGGUUUUUGGUGCAGCCUGCAGGUAGAAUUAUUUAUUUAUGGGUCCAAGUAUAGUGAAGGAGAUCAUAUAUGGGGCAACGAUUGGGCUGUCGGUUGGGUUUCUUUGGAAAAUGUACCACUGGAAUCUUCAGAGGAGAACCAAGGAAUUUUAUGAGCUGCUCGAUAGAGGCGAAAUCUCCACUGUUGUCGAAGAUGACUAGGCUAGGCUUAAUUACUUUGUUAAUUAUAUAGUUAACAACUUUUCUUUGGUUAUUUGCAUUGCAGGCAUGUAUUAUGUGUAUAUAAUAAUAGCCUUGCAUGUGUAAUAUAUGUUUAUUUCCCGAGAUUUGCAUGUUGGGAUUAAUGUAAGGAGGAGCUUUCAACAAAGAGCAUAUCAAGGGUCUAUUUAUUGGGCUGUAUGGAACUCUAAUAACUGUAAGAUGACAUAAUUUAAG